AGAGUUUGAUCCUGGCUCAGAUUGAACGCUGGCGGCAUGCCUAAUACAUGCAAGUCGAACGGGGUGUUUGAGCAAUCGGACACUUAGUGGCGAACGGGUGAGUAACGCGUUGGUGACCUGCCCCAAAGCGGGGGAUAACAGCCUGAAAGGGUUGCUAAUACCGCAUAUGAUGAUGAGAGACUAGAAACUUAUCAUUAAAGGAGAAAUCCACUUUGGGAGGGGCCUGCGUCCCAUCAGCUAGUUGGUAGGGUAAAAGCCUACCAAGGCGAAGACGGGUAGGGGACCUGAGAGGGUGACCCCCCACAAUGGAACUGAAACACGGUCCAUACACCUACGGGUGGCAGCAGUAGGGGAUAUUGCACAAUGGGCGGAAGCCUGAUGCAGCAACGCCGCGUGAGUGAUGAAGGCCCUCGGGUCGUAAAACUCUUUUCAAGAGGAAGAGGAAGGACGGUACUCUUGGAAUAAGCCUCGGCUAACUACGUGCCAGCAGCCGCGGUAAUA
rnacentral:rRNA from 1 species